UACGUAGGGGGCAAGCGUUGUCCGGACUUAUUGGGCGUAAAGAGCGUGUAGGCGGCUAGAUAGGUCCGUUGUGAAAACUCGAGGCUCAACCUCGAGACGUCGAUGGAAACCAUCUGGCUAGAGUCCGGAAGAGGAGAGUGGAAUUCCUGGUGUAGCGGUGAAAUGCGCAGAUAUCAGGAAGAACACCCGUGGCGAAAGCGGCUCUCUGGAACGGUACUGACGCUGAGACGCGAAAGCGUGGGGAGCGAACAGG
rnacentral:rRNA from 1 species